rnacentral:miRNA from 1 species
AGCUGGAAACUUUGCCUGCAAAU